CCUACGGGGGGCAGCAGUGGGGAAUAUUGCACAAUGGGGGAAACCCUGAUGCAGCGACGCCGCGUGAAGGAAGAAGUAUUUCGGUAUGUAAACUUCUAUCAGCAGGGAAGAAAAUGACGGUACCUGACUAAGAAGCCCCGGCUAACUACGUGCCAGCAGCCGCGGUAAUACGUAGGGGGCAAGCGUUAUCCGGAUUUACUGGGUGUAAAGGGAGCGUAGGCGGCGAUGCAAGUCAGAAGUGAAAGCCCGGGGCUCAACCCCGGGACUGCAUUGGAAACUGCAUGGCUGGAGUGUCGGAGAGGCAA
rnacentral:rRNA from 1 species